GCGGAGACGCAUGUUUCCGUUCACUCCUCACACCAUGUUCCGCCCGGUCGCUCCGGGCGGUU
rnacentral:sRNA from 20 species